UUAAAUGUUGUAAAAUAUGUAUAUUUUGUUCGAGCAACACAGUGUGUGUAAAGCUUGAAGGUGACAUGUGAAGAAAGUUAUGCUGGUAAAAAAUGUGAUGUCUGGAUGAAGAAGAGGAAGGAAAAUUCUUUGUGUAGUUGGUGCGAUGCUAGAGUUAAGAGGAAGUGUGAGUGAGAAAAAAUAGGUAUGUGGGAGAUAAAUAUAAGGAGAAAACAAUUUUUAUUUUACCAUAUUCAGAAGGUUAGUUUAAGAAUUUAAAAAAGUUUGGAUAUGCACAAAGAAAACUAGGAGGUGCACAUAGAAAACCCCAAGUUACAAAAGCAAAAGGCUCAAUUUCUCUUUUAUAAAAAGGAAACGCUAUAAAAAAGAUGCCGAAAUGGGGAAAACUAUUAAAAAAAUUUGAAACAGUUUUGGAAAUGUUAAAGGAAAGAACAUUAGUUCUAUUUUAUUUUUAGUUUAGGAAACUAGUUAAAAAUAAAU
rnacentral:lncRNA from 1 species